UACGGGGGGGGCAAGCGUUGUUCGGAAUUACUGGGCGUAAAGGGCGCGUAGGCGGCCUGUCACGUCGGGUGUGAAAGCCCGGGGCUUAACCCCGGGUCUGCAUUCGAUACGGGCUGGCUAGAGUGUGGUAGGGGAGAUCGGAAUUCCUGGUGUAGCGGUGAAAUGCGCAGAUAUCAGGAGGAACACCGGUGGCGAAGGCGGAUCUCUGGGCCAUUACUGACGCUGAGGAGCGAAAGCGUGGGGAGCGAACAGG
rnacentral:rRNA from 1 species